rnacentral:rRNA from 1 species
UAAGCAUAUCAAUAAGCGGAGGAAAAAGAAACCAACCGGGAUUGCCUUAGUAACGGCGAGUGAAGCGGCAAAAGCUCAAAUUUGAAAUCUGGCGUCUUCGACGUCCGAGUUGUAAUUUGAAGAAGGCAACUUUGUAGCUGGUCCUUGUCUAUGUUCCUUGGAACAGGACGUCAUAGAGGGUGAGAAUCCCGUGUGGCGAGGAUCCCAGUUAUUUGUAAAGUGCUUUCGACGAGUCGAGUUGUUUGGGAAUGCAGCUCUAAGUGGGUGGUAAAUUCCAUCUAAAGCUAAAUAUUGGCGAGAGACCGAUAGCGAACAAGUACAGUGAUGGAAAGAUGAAAAGAACUUUGAAAAGAGAGUGAAAAAGUACGUGAAAUUGUUGAAAGGGAAGGGCAUUUGAUCAGACAUGGCGUUUGCUUCGGCUUUCGCUGGGCCAGCAUCAGUUUUAGCGGUUGGAUAAAUCCUCGGGAAUGUGGCUCUGCUUCGGUAGAGUGUUAUAGCCCGUGGGAAUACAGCCAGCUGGGACUGAGGAUUGCGACUUUUGUCAAGGAUGCUGGCGUAAUGGUUAAAUGCCGCCCGUCUUGAAACACGGACCAAGGAGUCUAACGUCUAUGCGAGUGUUUGGGUGUAAAACCCGUACGCGUAAUGAAAGUGAACGUAGGUGAGGGCCCGCAAGGGUGCAUCAUCGACCGAUCCUGAUGUCUUCGGAUGGAUUUGAGUAAGAGCAUAGCUGUUGGGACCCGAAAGAUGGUGAACUAUGCCUGAAUAGGGUGAAGCCAGAGGAAACUCUGGUGGAGGCUCGUAGCGGUUCUGACGUGCAAAUCGAUCGUCGAAUUUGGGUAUAGGGGCGAAAGACUAAUCGAACCAUCUA